rnacentral:rRNA from 1 species
UACGGAGGGUGCAGGCGUUAUCCGGAUUUACUGGGUUUAAAGGGUGCGUAGGCGGGCAUGUAAGUCAGUGGUGAAAUACCGGAGCUUAACUUCGGAACUGCCAUUGAUACUAUAUGUCUUGAAUAUUGUGGAGGUAAGCGGAAUAUGUCAUGUAGCGGUGAAAUGCAUAGAUAUGACAUAGAACACCGAUUGCGGAGGCAGCUUGCUACACAAAUAUUGACGCUGAGGCAAGAAAGCGUGGGGAUCAAACAGG